rnacentral:tRNA from 1 species
GGCUGGUUAGCUCAGUUGGUUGGAGCGUGGUGCUGAUAACACCAAUGUUGCGGGUUCGAUCCCUGUUCGGUCC